rnacentral:rRNA from 1 species
GGACUACUGGGGUAUCUAAUCCCGUUUGCUCCCCUGGCUUUCGCGCAUCAGCGUCAGUAUCGGCCCAGUAACCCGCCUUCGCCUCAGGUGUUCCUCCUGAUAUCUACGCAUUUCACCGCUACACCAGGAAUUCCAGUUACCUCUUCCGUACUCUAGUUCGCCAGUAUCGGCCGACCCUCCGGGGUUGAGCCCCGGGCUUUCACAGCCGACUUAACAAACCGCCUACGCGCCCUUUACGCCCAGUAAUUCCGAACAACGCUUGCCACCUACGUAUUACCGCGGCUGCUGGCAC